GAGGGACAGGGUGCAGGUGCAUGCUGGAAACAGACACAGGCUGAGGCUCCCUGGAGGUUAAGCUCGCAGACCGGCUUCUGCAUCCAUGGGCUGUGUGAUGUUGAGCAAGUUACUCAACCUUUCUGUGCCUCAGGGUCCUCCGCUGCAGAAUGGGGAUAAUAAUAGCACUAACCUCACGAGGUUGUUUGCAGGUU